UACGGAGGGUGCGAGCGUUGUUCGGAAUUACUGGGCGUAAAGCGCGUGUAGGCGGCCUUCUAAGUCUGGUGUGAAAGCCCGGGGCUCAACCCCGGGAGGCGGGUGGAUACUGUCAAGCUCGAGUCCGGAAGAGGAGUGUGGAAUUCCUGGUGUAGCGGUGAAAUGCGCAGAUAUCAGGAGGAACACCAAUGGCGAAGGCAGCACUCUGGGACGUGACUGACGCUGAGACGCGAGAGCGUGGGGAGCAAACAGG
rnacentral:rRNA from 1 species